AUGAACGCUGGCGGCGUGCCUAAUACAUGCAAGUCGAGCGAACAGACGAGGAGCUUGCUCCUUCGACGUUAGCGGCGGACGGGUGAGUAACACGUAGGUAACCUACCUAUAAGACUGGGAUAACUUCGGGAAACCGGAGCUAAUACCGGAUAAUAUUUCGAACCGCAUGGUUCGAUAGUGAAAGAUGGCUUUGCUAUCACUUAUAGAUGGACCUGCGCCGUAUUAGCUAGUUGGUAAGGUAACGGCUUACCAAGGCAACGAUACGUAGCCGACCUGAGAGGGUGAUCAGCCACCCUGGAUCUGACACACGGUCCAGACUCCUACGGGAGGCAGCAGUAGGGAAUUUUCCGCAAUGGGCGAAAGCCUGACGGAGCAACGCCGCGUGAGUGAUGAAGGUCUUCGGAGCGUAAAACUCUGUUAUUAGGGAAGAACAAACGUGUAAGUAACUGUGCACGUCUUGACGGUACCUAAUCAGAAAGCAACGGCUAACUACGU
rnacentral:rRNA from 1 species